UCGAGAAUAUUCCACAAUGGGCGAAAGCCUGAUGGAGCGACGCCGCGUGCAGGAUGAAACUCUUCGGAGCGUAAACUGCUUUUCUACAGGAAAAACUUUUGUGAUUGUACUGUAGGAAUAAGUGGCUGCAAACUUCGUGCCAGCAGCCGCGGUAAUACGAAGGCCACAAGCGUUAUCCGGAUUUAUUGGGCGUAAAGGGUGCGUAGGGGGUUUUGCAAGUUUUUAGUUAAAUUCCGAGGCUUAACUUCGGAGCUGCUAAGAAAACUGCGAAACUAGAGGGAGUUAGAGGCAGAUGGAACAUAUGGUGUAGGGGUGAAAUCCGUUGAUAUCAUAUGGAACACCAAAGGCGAAGGCAUUCUGCUGGGACUUUCCUGACCCUGAGGCACGAAAGCGUGGGGAGCAAAAAGG
rnacentral:rRNA from 1 species